rnacentral:tRNA from 1 species
GCUUUUAUAGUUUAAUAAAAACGAUGGUCUUGUAAACCAUAAUUGGAUAUCUUUUCCUAAARGCA